UGGGGAAUUUUGGACAAUGGGCGCAAGCCUGAUCCAGCAAUGCCGCGUGCAGGAUGAAGGCCUUCGGGUUGUAAACUGCUUUUGUACGGAGCGAAAAGGUCUGCCCUAAUACGGUGGGCUCAUGACGGUACCGUAAGAAUAAGCACCGGCUAACUACGUGCCAGCAGCCGCGGUAAUACGUAGGGUGCGAGCGUUAAUCGGAAUUACUGGGCGUAAAGCGUGCGCAGGCGGUUAUAUAAGACAGAGGUGAAAUCCCCGGGCUCAACCUGGGACCUGCAUUUGUGACUGUAUAGCUAGAGUACGGUAGAGGGGGAUGGAAUUCCGCGUGUAGCAGUGAAAUGCGUAGAUAUGCGGAGGAACACCGAUGGCGAAGGCAAUCCCCGGGACCAGUACUGACGCUCAUGCACGAAAGCGUGGGGAGCAAACA
rnacentral:rRNA from 1 species